UCUGUUUCUGUUACUUUUUCUUGUGAUCACUGAACUUCCGCUUUCCUCUCUCUUCACAAGAAAUUUUUUAGAAUUAGAGACAAAACCAAGAAGAGGAAACCUUUGCAACCCUUCCUCUCAGAAGAAUGUAUUUUUUGGUGAUCCUGGCUUUUCUAGGACGAAUUACUGUGCUAGAUCCUACAAUGUGCUGUGAGUGUCAUAGGAAAUGCUCAGAGAACCGAGAUUCUGCUGAUGGCAAGGGAAGGAUGUUCAACAUGACCCAGGAGGAACACAGCAGCAUCCCAGAAGCACACAAGCUUACAGGUUUGGGCCCUUAAUGAUGCUUGUAACCUGCAGCAUCAUUAACCAUUUACAUAUUUUUAACAGAUAAGGAGACAUUUGAGACCAUUCCUGCAAAAUCACACGAUAAUCAUUUAGUACAAGAAGAAAGUAACAUCUCUCUCUCUUGUGAAUUUCAAAUGAAGCGCUCAGGACAACCAUUUAUUAUAUAUUGGAUCAAAUAUAAAGAAACAAGCAAAUGCCUGUCUUCUGUUGAGAGAGAGCCAUAUACUUUCUCGUAUAAUACACAUUGCUGUAUUGAUGAGAUGAUCGAAGGACGACUAUUGAACUAUACAAGCUUAGAUUCAAACAAGACACACGUAGUCCAUAAUAUGACCAUCUUGAAUGUUACUUACUCCGACAGUGGAACUUAUUUAUGUGUUGUAAAUGCCUGGUCAAGAGAUAAACAUGUGUGGAAGAUUGCAAAUAACCUUUCUAUAGAAGUGAGGAAGCAAGCCAUUCCAUCCUCUGCUUCCAUGCCAUUGUAUGCCACCACUGGAUUGAUCGUAGGGAUUAUUAUCAUCAGUGGGAUAGCAUGGUUGAUCUAUAACAAGAAAACCAAAUCAAAAGGUAGGAAAAGUAAAAUUAGUAAGUAAGAUCUGCAGAAAUAUUUUAACUGUUGAAACUUUACAGUGUGUUUUAUUUAUCUGUUACAGGAAAGCCAUCUGCACAACUUCCCAGGUACGGCCUUGAAUGGACAUAACCAAUGAAAUAUUAGUAUAAUUUUUAAAGUGUUUUUUCCAACAGAUAGAAAUGACUGAAUAGAUUCGUCCCUUAUCUUUUUAUUUUAGAGCUCAGGAUGCUCUUGAAAUUCCAGGAGAUGAAUGUGAGCAUUAAGUUUUUGAUAAACCUUUUUGAAAUGAUUGUCUACUUAGCACAUUUUGAGAAUU
rnacentral:lncRNA from 1 species